UAUGAUAGAAGCGUGGCAAGGUGUGGCUGCUGUGUCACAUGUACGUCAGUAGAUGGCAGAGAGGAGAGAGGCUAUGUCAACACUCAGUGUUCUGACCUAUGAACAUCUGAAUGGUCAGUAGCCUAACUCU
rnacentral:snoRNA from 1 species